GGAGCGGGCAUCUCUUGAGCAGGUACUUAUUUUAAUUAAUUAUUAGUUCUUUUUUAAAAAACAAAUGAGAAUUUAAUCAAUACAGUGAUAUGGAAGUUUUGAUAAUUUCUACUAAUUUGGAUUUUUUGGCAUUGAAAAAAUGUACUUCUAUACACAAGACAAAUAAAUAGUACAUAGAACAUUCUGGCUACUGAAGGAAACCACCAGCAAUAUUAGAAAGAAAAAGAUGAUUAGAGAAGGUGAAUUUCCUUCAGUAUUUUCAUUUUAAAUGAUUAGGCAGAGGCUAUGUAUGUGAUAUUAUUAUGCAAAACAAAAACAUAUAAAAUGUGGAAAAUUGAGGCUUACAAAAAUCCCUUUCCUUUAGAUGUAUUGAAAGUAGGACAAUUCCAUAGCUUAUUUGCAGUCAUCUCAACACUUUUUUUAUCACUAUUGUUUGUUUAUAAUGGGAUGGUGCAUGUUAGAAGUUAUUAUUUUCUUAAAUAUGUGCAGGUUCAACAGCGAUUUGAAAG
rnacentral:misc_RNA from 1 species